AUUGAACGCUGGCGGCAGGCCUAACACAUGCAAGUCGGACGAGUGGCGGACGGGUGAGUAAUGUCUUGGAAACUGCCCGAUGGAGGGGGAUAACUACUGGAAACAGUAGCUAAUACCGCAUACUAUCGGAUCUGCCCAUAUCGGAUUAGCUAGUUGGUGGGGUAACGGCUAACCUAGGCGACGAUCCCUAGCGGGUCUGAGAGGAUGACCAGCCACACUGGAACUGAGACACGGUCCAGACUCCUACGGGAGGCAGCAGUGGGGAAUAUUGCACAAUGGGCGCAAGCCUGAUGCAGCCAUGCCGCGUGUAUGAAGAAGGCCUUCGGGUUGUAAAGUACUUUCAGUGGGGAGGCGGUACCCGAAGAAGAAGCACCGGCUAACUCCGUGCCAGCAGCCGCGGUAAUAC
rnacentral:rRNA from 1 species